GGCUCAGGACGAACGCUGGCGGCGUGCUUAACACAUGCAAGUCGAACGAGGAUUAUGUUGAGGGGCUCGGCUGGAAGAUGUAAUUCGAGUGGCGGACGGGUGAGUAACGCGUGAACAAUCUGUCCCGGACAGGGGAAUAACACUUGGAAACAGGUGCUAAUACCGCAUAAGACCACGCCCUCGCAUGGGGGAGGGGUAAAAGGAGCAAUCCGGUUCGGGGUGAGUUCGCGUCCGAUUAGAUAGUUGGUGAGGUAACGGCCCACCAAGUCGACGAUCGGUAGCCGACCUGAGAGGGUGAUCGGCCACAUUGGAACUGAGAGACGGUCCAAACUCCUACGGGAGGCAGCAGUGGGGAAUAUUGGGCAAUGGGCGAAAGCCCUGACCCAGCAACGCCGCGUGAGUGAAGAAGGCUUUCGGGUUGUAAAGCUCUGUUAUAGGGGACGAAGGAAGUGACGGUACCCUAUAAGGAAGCCCCGGCUAACUACGUGCCAGCAGCCGC
rnacentral:rRNA from 1 species